rnacentral:rRNA from 1 species
GAUGAACGCUGGCGGCGUGCCUAAUACAUGCAAGUCGAGCGAACGGACGAGAAGCUUGCUUCUCUGAUGUUAGCGGCGGACGGGUGAGUAACACGUGGAUAACCUACCUAUAAGACUGGGAUAACUUCGGGAAACCGGAGCUAAUACCGGAUAAUAUUUUGAACCGCAUGGUUCAAAAGUGAAAGACGGUCUUGCUGUCACUUAUAGAUGGAUCCGCGCUGCAUUAGCUAGUUGGUAAGGUAACGGCUUACCAAGGCAACGAUGCAUAGCCGACCUGAGAGGGUGAUCGGCCACACUGGAACUGAGACACGGUCAAGACUCCUACGGGAGGCAGCAGUAGGGAAUCUGCCGCAAUGGGCGAAAGCCUGACGGAGCAACGCCGCGUGAGUGAUGAAGGUCUUCGGAUCGUAAAACUCUGUUAUUAGGGAAGAACAGAUGUGUAAGUAACUGUGCACAUCUUGACGGUACCUAAUCAGAAAGCCACGGCUAACUACGUG